CUUAUAUGGUCGAGAAAUUAUUUUUUUUAAAUGGUUAUUUUAUUUUUAAAACAUCCAUAUAUAAAAGCUGCGUAUCAGUAUAUCAAUUUCAAAGGAGAGUUUUGAAUCUAUAAGCAAUUAUCGUCUUCUAAAUCAGGGUGAUCAUCUGUAAUGAAUGCUCCACUUCUUGUUGAUGGUCCUGAUGCGGUUAGAAAGGAAUAUAGUAUAGUUCACAACGAGUAUAAUACCAAAAUACCCAUAAGUCAUGUUUACAAGCAAACACUACUUUCUCGGUUCAACUUCAUGAAAAGUUAUAAAACUAAAGUAGUAGAGAACAAGUAUAAUUCUGGAAGAACAUCCAAAGAUGUUUAUUUGCUAAGUAGGGAUGACAUUAGAAAUUAUCUUAGCAAAUCAUAUAAGUUUUUGCAUAUUGGGUUGGUACAAUUUUCGAUAACUCACACUUCUUACAAUCAAGAAUCAUUCCCCUUGUCGGUAUGCUUGAUAGAUUCAAAGCACCAAAGCAUUGAAGAGUCUAUAUUGGUAAGUAUAAAUACAGAUUUGCAUUUAGAUGCCUUGGAGUUUAAUUGGUUUCCAAAUUUUUCAUCAUCUCUGUCUGAUCUAACAAAUUCCAACGGUUUGGUGGUUACUAUAAAUUCUUCAAGUUCUGAAAAUUUUAAGUUUGAUUAUAAAGUAUAUUAUAAAUUAAUGAAGAAAUCUCUUAAGCCUGGUUAUCUAUUUAAAAAUCCUAUAAUAGAGGUAAACACCAAGAAUGUUCAUGUUGUUAUCCCAACCUCUGAUAGUCAGACUUAACAAGAAUCCAUGGGUUGUAAAAGUGUUGUUCUCUUUCCAUCUUAUAUUAUAUUUUGUUUGUUGGGUCUAUUUAUAUAUUCCUUUAUUAUGUAGUGUGAUGAGUAUGUAAUUUGCCUUAAGUAUUAUGGAUUAAACAUUACAAAUUAAUAAAAGUGCUUUUGAAUUGGCUUAUCA